GAUAAACGCUGGCGGCGUGCAUGAGACAUGCAAGUCGAACGAAGGAUCGGGCUUGCUCGAUCCUUAGUGGCGGACGGCUGAGUAACGCGUAGGUGACCUACCCCGAAGUGGGGAAUAACUGCCCGAAAGGGUGGCUAAUACCGCAUGUGGUCGCACGUUCAUUCGUGCGAGUAAAGCCGCAAGGCGCUUCGGGAGGGGCCUGCGUCCGAUUAGCUCGUUGGUGGGGUAAUGGCUUACCAAGGCGACGACCGGUAGGUGGUCUGAGAGGACGAUCACCCAGACUGGGACUGAGACACGGCCCAGACUCCUACGGGAGGCAGCAGUCGGGAAUUUUGCUCAAUGGGGGAAACCCUGAAGCAGCAACGCCGCGUGAGGGAUGAAGGCCUUCGGGUUGUAAACCUCUUUUGUCAGGGACGAUGAUGACGGUACCUGGCGAAUAAGCCACGGCUAACUACGUG
rnacentral:rRNA from 1 species